rnacentral:tmRNA from 1 species
GGGGGCGUAAAGGUUUCGACGGGGAUUUUGAAGUCCAGUAAGCGAGCAGAGCGGGCGGAAGCUCUUUAAUCGCCGCACCUAAAUAUAAACGCUAAUAAUAACAAUUAUCGUUUAGCUUACGCUGCUUAAUUUAAGCGGCAGCCUGCGCUGAGUAGCACCGCGGAUUCAGCCCGGGUCUCAAUUUAGCGGUCAACGUCUUGGGGGAGUUUCCCGGCCUCUUUGACGUAUUAGGGAAUACCUCCUGAUUCAGCCUGCCGGCUGGCGGAUUCAGGAGGGAAUUUCAAAUAACCGGCUGCGCUCGGAGAAAGCUGGAUGAAUAGGUUUUCGGACGGGAGUUCGACUCUCCCCGCCUCCACCA